CCACGUUGGAGCAACCUGGGCUAAUGGAAGGUGUUCCUGCCCAUGGCAGGGGAUGGGACGAGCUGAUCAUUAAACCAGCCCAAGUCUUCCUGUGCCUGCCAUUACCGAGGGUUUUUCCACCGCCUGCCGGGCGGUCCCGCCCCGGGGGGAGCGGCUGAGGCGAGCGGGGCGGCGCCUGCGGAACCACCUCGGCCGCGCGGGGAGGCCCGGCCUUUCUCUGCGCCCGCCGCCGCGUGGGGGAAUGGGAGAGACCCGCGGCCGUGAGGGGGAACUGCGGCCGCGAGGGGAGGGAACGGCCCUGGGCCGGGCCGGGCGUCCCUCGGGCCGCCGCCAUGAGGGGCCGCCAUGAGGGCAUCACCUGAUGGGAGGCUGGGGCACGUGUGAGGGGGUCGCACCCGGAGCUCAGGGUGGCCGAGAACCGUGCGAAGGGAACAAACCUCGGAGGGAACAAACCUCAGGUGACGGGUCCGCACGAGCCGCCUCCCACGAGCUGUGCUGAGGGGGAACAGCCGCGUGAGGCCCCUCCAGGAGAACACCGGUGCCUGUGGAGAGGAGAUGUAAAGGGAUAACCGGUGCAUGAGACACAGGGAGAUCUCGGGAGCGUCUCAAGCAGCGUGGAUGAGGUUGUGACCGUGAGCCAACGAGGGGAGAUGGGCAAACACUCCGUUCUGUUGCAAGUGUCCUGAGGCUUGCUGGAGCAGCAGGAGUGGCCAGAAGAAAAGAAAAAAGCUGUUGGUGCUGCUCUGAAAAUCCCUGUUUGGAAAAGAUUGGGAAGAUGGAACCUUGGAAGCCCACAACUGAAACGGGGCUAUAAGAAAAUUAUUUAUUUUCAGGAUCUGGAUGUAGGAAUUUCAAACAUCAGAGGUAGUUUGGGGCAGGGUAUAACAAGAAUUAUCUGUACAGUUCUUUAAUUGUUAAUCCCUUCUCACUGCUUGUUUAAAAUAUAUUUUAUGUGACCUCAAUUAAACUUAUUUGUGUUUAAA